rnacentral:rRNA from 1 species
AUGUUUCAACAAAUUCAUGUAGGAUCCGAUAAUGACACCUUGGAGGAUGACGAGGAAGCGAUCACGUCGUCUGCUAUACCUAUCAAGGUUGAUCCAUUAGACUUUGUCUACACAAACAUCCCAGACAACACACACAUCCUGAAGCUCGACGCAAACUGCGAACACUGCCAGGGUUUCUGCUGUCGCAAUGGUCAAAUCGAACUUAAACAACCGGAACCAAUCCCAGAGCUGAUGAGGCUAUGGUCAAGCAUGGAUGCAGACUCUAGACAUUUUCGGGAG